UACGUAGGGUGCGAGCGUUAAUCAGAAUUACUGGGCGUAAAGCGUGCGCAGGCGGUUCUCCAAGUCCGUUGUGAAAGCCCCGGGCUCAACCUGGGAAUGGCAGUGGAAACUAGGGGACUGGAAUCUGGCAGAGGGGGGUGGAAUGCCGCGUGUAGCAGUGAAAUGCGUAGAGAUGCGGCGAAACACCGAUGGCGAAGGCAGCCCCCUGGGCUGAGAUUGACGCUCAGGCACGAAAGCGUGGGGAGCAAACAGG
rnacentral:rRNA from 1 species